CUUGCUGAUCUGGAUCUCACCAAUCAAACUAGACUGGCUGAGCAGUGAGUUCCAGGAAUUUACCUGAUAGAUGCCAGUCUUGUAGUUGUCUCAAAGUAAUUCUGGGAUGUUGUCUUCACCUUAGCAACUCCAAUGGUAAAAGUGCUUCCUUUUCAUCAGUUCUAAUGAGAGUUCUUGGUAUCAUUCAUGUUGGCUUGGUUUAGGUCAUAUGCCUUUCGGUAACAACCACUGCGGCCGUGGAAAUGGACCGCAGGCCUGUGACUUGAGCUGCUUAACGAGUGGCAUUAGUUAUAGCAGAAUAAUAUGAAUUGGAAGUAGAUGAAGAUGACUACUUAUCUAUUUGUGGCAGUAAUCAUAGGAAAGAGGCCAAAAUGUUAGGGGUAGGCUGGAAGCAUAAGAAAACAUUGAGUGGCCUUUCCUCCAAGUAUAAAGGAAGUUUGCUUGAUAAACCAAGAGGGUUUCACAGUUCACACAGCAGUAUUUAAAAGCAUGAAAAUUCUCUAUGAAAAUGGCAAGAAGGCACUGCCAUUUGUCUUCUUUCACUAAAUAUGAUAGAGUUUAAAGACUUCAAAUGUAAUAAAGUUGCAACUCUAGCUAGAAAAAGUGUUUCCAGGUGGCCUUUCCCCCUUUAUCUUUGGCUGCAAAACUUUGGAAACAUGAAUCACAAAUGAAAUAGUACAUAUAAUUUUAAUAACAGGGAACUGAGAAAUGCAUUGCUUUUGAAACAUCAAAUGAAAGUAACUUUCCUACUUCUGAAAUCUCAUUGUGGGCUAAGAGCAUAGAUUCUUGAGCAAAGGAAAUGUGGUAAUCGACUCACAGGAAAAAAAUGUAUUUAGAAAUAUGCUUCAAAAUCUGUAAGUAAAGGAAAUUAAUAGAGUGCUAAAAACUUUAAGAGAUCAAGUUUCUGUAAGUGUGAAAAAAUAUAGUUCAGACAAACAUUUAAACAAAGCAAAGCAAAAUGAAAUUAAAUGGAGAAAACAAAACAUAGAGGUUAUCCCUUUUAUGAAUAUGACUUGAAAAUUGAGGGAAACAACAAUAGAUGAUCAUUUUACUCUAUUAAAUUUUAAGUCCUAUCCUCUUUUGUAUAGGGGAAUGCCAGGGCCAGGAAGCAGGAGUGGGUGGGUUGGUAAGCAGGGGGAAGGGGGAAAGGAUAGGGGGUUUUCGAAGGGGAAACCAG
rnacentral:lncRNA from 1 species